GACAGAGGGUGCAAACGUUGUUCGGAAUUACUGGGCGUAAAGCGUGUGUAGGCGGCUUUGCAAGUCGGAUGUGAAAGCCCCGGGCUCAACCCGGGAAGUGCACUCGAUACUGCAGAGCUAGAGUGUCGGAGAGGUUGGUGGAAUUCUCGGUGUAGAGGUGAAAUUCGUAGAUAUCGAGAGGAACACCGGCGGCGAAGGCGGCCAACUGGACGACUACUGACGCUGAGACACGAAAGCGUGGGGAGC
rnacentral:rRNA from 1 species